CCUACGGGAGGCAGCAGUGGGGAAUUUUCCGCAAUGGGCGAAAGCCUGACGGAGCAACGCCGCGUGGGUGAUGAAGUCUUUCGGGACGUAAAACCCUUUCAGCAGGGACGAACACAAUGACGGUACCUGCAGAAGAAGCAUCGGCUAACUACGUGCCAGCAGCCGCGGUAAUACGUAGGAUGCGAGCGUUGUCCGGAUUUAUUGGGCGUAAAGCGAACGUAGGCGGUUUCUUAAGUUUGGUCUUUAAAGACCGGGGCUCAACCCCGGGAAUGGACUGAAUACUGGGAGACUAGAGGAUGUUAGAGGAAAGUGGAAUUCCAAGUGUAGCGGUGAAAUGCGUAGAUAUUUGGAGGAACACCAGUGGCGAAAGCGGCUUUCUGGGACAUUUCUGACGCUGAGGUUCGAAAGCUCGGGGAGCAAACAGGAUUAGAUACCCUGGUAGUCCGAGCCGUAAACGAUGGACACUAGGUGUCGGGGGUAUGACCCCCCGGUGCCGUAGCUAACGCGUAAGUGUCCCGCCUGGGAGUACGGUCGCAAGACUGAACUUAAUGAAUUGACGGCUGAGAGNGCGAGACGACGAACGAGGAGUUAG
rnacentral:rRNA from 1 species